UUUUUUGUACCACGGAUCGAACUCCGGACCUUGCGCUUUCGAGGCAGGAGGCGGAACCACUGAGUUAAAUCUCCGGCCCCUCAGCCGCAGCUUUUAGAGCUGGACAGCCUACAGUGAAGACCUUAGGGGCUGAUUCCUUCUCAGCACUUGUCAGCCUACAGGCAGCCAUGCACUGAAUCAAUGACCAAACACCAUGGCAGUCACCUCCAACAGGGACUCUGGGCAAAGGAGGCUCCCACCUGCACCUCAGUGGCUGACAGGAGCCAGAAAACUCAUCUCCCCCAACUUUUUGGCUCCUGCCCGAUAAGCAUAAUUUCAGUGGAGAGAAUCCUCGAAGCUACUCACCUCCUAUGUGUGAACCUCAGGCAUCAAAGGCUCUCAGAGUUGGGAUGAACUGGAAGUUCUCAUUCAAACUCCUCCCUGGAGUCAAAAUGCCCCUCCCUGAGCACAAGGGACAGCUGUGAGAAACAGCCUGUUGUUUGCUGAGAGCGGCCUGUUUGUGUUGCCUGUUUACUUGUGAAGAUCUACUGAGGCCAGGUGUGACAGUAUUAUAGAUAGGUAAGUUAAUUAGGUAUCUUGUUGGCAGGUAGACAGGGCCUCCCUUAAGGUGCCAGCCCUCCAGGAGCCGACACAGCAAGGAACCAACAUGAAGAA